GCGGGUGUGGCGGAACUGGCAGACGCGCUGGACUUAGGAUCCAGUGGGCAACCGUGGGGGUUCAAGUCCCUCCACCCGCA
rnacentral:tRNA from 1 species